rnacentral:misc_RNA from 1 species
UAUAAGUUGAGGUGAAGUCACCACACCGAUGGUAUGGCAGGGGCGGAUCCAGGUUAGGGCCGAGAGGGUUAAUUUUUUAAAAAAAUGUAUGCAUGGUAGAUGUUGAACUCUUUUUGGCCUGGGGUGUGUUUAGUGAUCUGGACAGUCAGGUGGUUUAGUGGUUAAUGAAGGGGAGAAGCAUAAUGGAUGCAAAAAUAUUAGGUGAUGUCUAAGUAUGUAGGGGUGAUUUCUUCCUGCCUAAGUGUUAGACGGUAGAGAUGGUAACCGUGUUAGAAUAGUCAAGCUGCACUUUGACUCGUUUACCGCCAUCAUCAACGAAAAAAAUUGAGCCGGA